rnacentral:rRNA from 1 species
AGGCAGCAGUGGGGAAUAUUGGACAAUGGGCGAAAGCCUGAUCCAGCCAUGCCGCGUGAGUGAUGAAGGCCCUAGGGUUGUAAAGCUCUUUUGUGCGGGAAGAUAAUGACGGUACCGCAAGAAUAAGCCCCGGCUAACUUCGUGUCAGCAGCCGCGGUAAUACGAAGGGGGCUAGCGUUGCUCGGAAUCACUGGGCGUAAAGGGUGCGUAGGCGGGUUUUUAAGUCAGGGGUGAAAUCCUGGAGCUCAACUCCAGAACUGCCUUUGAUACUGAGAAUCUUGAGUACGGGAGAGGUGAGUGGAACUGCGAGUGUAGAGGUGAAAUUCGUAGAUAUUCGCAAGAACACCAGUGGCGAAGGCGGCUCACUGGCCCGUUACUGACGCUGAGGCACGAAAGCGUGGGGAGCAAACAGGAUUAGAUACCCUGGUAG